GAGGAACCCGGUGCGAAUCCGGGACGGUCCCGCCACUGUGACCGGGGAGCGACCCGCAGCACAGCCACGGCUUCGACAGGGGCCGGAAGGCGCGGUGAUCGCCGAUCCGGGAGUCAGGAGACUC
rnacentral:ncRNA from 2 species